UGCAGUCGAGCGGAUGAAGGGAGCUUGCUCCUGGAUUCAGCGGCGGACGGGUGAGUAAUGCCUAGGAAUCUGCCUGGUAGUGGGGGAUAACGUCCGGAAACGGGCGCUAAUACCGCAUACGUCCUGAGGGAGAAAGUGGGGGAUCUUCGGACCUCACGCUAUCAGAUGAGCCUAGGUCGGAUUAGCUAGUUGGUGGGGUAACGGCCUACCAAGGCGACGAUCCGUAACUGGUCUGAGAGGAUGAUCAGUCACACUGGAACUGAGACACGGUCCAGACUCCUACGGGAGGCAGCAGUGGGGAAUAUUGGACAAUGGGCGAAAGCCUGAUCCAGCCAUGCCGCGUGUGUGAAGAAGGUCUUCGGAUUGUAAAGCACUUUAAGUUGGGAGGAAGGGCAGUAAGUUAAUACCUUGCUGUUUUGACGUUACCAACAGAAUAAGCACCGGCUAACUUCGUGCCAGCAGCCGCGGUAAUACGAAGGGUGCAAGCGUUAAUCGGAAUUACUGGGCGUAAAGCGCGCGUAGGUGGUUCAGCAAGUUGGAUGUGAAAUCCCCGGGCUCAACCUGGGAACUGCAUCCAAAACUACUGAGCUAGAGUACGGUAGAGGGUGGUGGAAUUUCCUGUGUAGCGGUGAAAUGCGUAGAUAUAGGAAGGAACACCAGUGGCGAAGGCGACCACCUGGACUGAUACUGACACUGAGGUGCGAAAGCGUGGGGAGCAAACAGGAUUAGAUACCCUG
rnacentral:rRNA from 1 species